GAUGAACGCUAGCGGCAGGCCUAACACAUGCAAGUCGAGGGGUAGAAGGAGCUUGCUCCUUUGAGACCGGCGCACGGGUGCGUAACGCGUAUGCAAUCUACCUUUUACAGAGGGAUAGCCCAGAGAAAUUUGGAUUAAUACCUCAUAGUAUAUAUCAUUCGCAUGUUUGGUAUAUUAAAGUUCCAACGGUAAAAGAUGAGCAUGCGUCCCAUUAGUUAGUUGGUAAGGUAACGGCUUACCAAGACGAUGAUGGGUAGGGGUCCUGAGAGGGAGAUCCCCCACACUGGUACUGAGACACGGACCAGACUCCUACGGGAGGCAGCAGUGAGGAAUAUUGGUCAAUGGACGCAAGUCUGAACCAGCCAUGCCGCGUGCAGGAAGACGGUCCUAUGGAUUGUAAACUGCUUUUGUACGGGAAGAAACACUCCUACGUGUAGGAGCCUGACGGUACCGUAAGAAUAAGGAUCGGCUAACUCUGUGCCAGCAGCCGCCGUAAUAC
rnacentral:rRNA from 1 species